CCAAAAUAUUGCAAAGUUUUCUCAGCCAUAGCCAAAAUUCUCCGAAAACCAAACAUAAAUCACGAUCAAAUGCCACCUAGGAAAUUAACAUAUGUCCUUUUCUGCUAAUUGUAAAUUCUCUUCUAGAAUGAAGUAUACUUUCCCUUUCUCUCAGAACACAAGCUCAUGUGAGCUACAUUUGAUGAAAACAUACGAGAAUGCACUACUUCCCCAAUUUCCGUGCAAGCUUAUCUGACCUAAAUUUGACCAAACCUACAAGAUUUUUUUUAGCAUAUUUCAUGGAGGUUACUGACGAUUCUAGGUAAUAAAUACUCAACAUCAAUGGAGCCUCUCCGCUGAUAGAAAAACUUUUCCUAUGAUACUAACACGCGAGCAAGAUUAAUUCUUAACACUGCUGAGAGAGGAGGCAGUUGUCAAAUUGUUUGCUUCAACUUAAUGAUAUUGAAAAUGUCUAGCGUGAAAGCUCAGGACUAAGGUACCUGGGUUAUCAGCUCUGAACCGAAUAGCAGUCCAACCACCCGUUGGAACACCUACAGUAUUUCUUUCUACAGGAUCAACCAGGUUAUAU